GUGCUCACAUUGGCAGCACACAUACUAACACUGGAAUGAUACAGAGAUUAGCAUGGCCCCUGGGCAAGGAUGACACACAAAUUCAUGAAGCACUCUAUAUUUUA